rnacentral:rRNA from 1 species
CCUACGGGUGGCUGCAGUGGGGAAUAUUGCACAAUGGGGGAAACCCUGAUGCAGCAACGCCGCGUGAGUGAAGAAGUAUUUCGGUAUGUAAAGCUCUAUCAGCAGGGAAGAAGAUGACGGUACCUGAAUAAGAAGCCCCGGCUAACUACGUGCCAGCAGCCGCGGUAAUACGUAGGGGGCAAGCGUUAUCCGGAUUUACUGGGUGUAAAGGGAGCGCAGACGGCAGUGCAAGUCUGGAGUGAAAGCCCGGGGCCCAACCCCGGAACUGCUCUGGAAACUGUGCGGCUAGAGUACUGGAGGGGCAGGCGGAAUUCCUAGUGUAGCGGUGAAAUGCGUAGAUAUAUGGAAGAACACCAGUGGCGAAGGCGGCUGUCUGGUCUGCAACUGACGCUGAGGCUCGAAAGCAUGGGUAGCGAACAGGAUUAGAUACCCGUGUAGUC